GCAGUCGAGGGGCAGCAUGGUGUAGCAUACACUGAUGGCGACCGGCAAACGUGUGCGGAACACGUACGCAACUUACCUAAAACUGGGGAAUAGCCCGGGGAAACCCGGAUUAAUACCUCGUAACAUAAUGAAGUGGCAUCACUUUAUUAUUAUAGCUCCGGCGGUUUUGGAUGGGCGUGCGCCUGAUUAGGUAGUUGGCGGGGUAACGGCCCACCAAGCCUACGAUCAGUAACUGGUGUGAGAGCACGACCAGUCACACGGGCACUGAGACACGGGCCCGACUCCUACGGGAGGCAGCAGUAAGGAAUAUUGGUCAAUGGACGCAAGUCUGAACCAGCCAUGCCGCGUGAAGGAUGAAGGUCCUCUGGAUUGUAAACUUCUUUUAUAUGGGAAGAAAUCCAUCUUUUCUUGGGUGGUUGACGGUA
rnacentral:rRNA from 1 species